rnacentral:lncRNA from 1 species
GGAGAGCUUCCUGUAAGCGAACCCGUGAAGGUUCCAGGAGGAUGGCGCACCCGGAAAGGGCGUGGAAGCUCCGCGCCCCUUCCCACAGACUUUCCCCCAUCCAUCUCUUCAUCUGGUGUUCAUCGAUAGCCUUUGUAAUGUCCUUAAUAGUAAACCGGAAAACAGUGGAGGAAGAAGAGAAUCACCACAUAUCGUAUUUAGAGGUCCUGCAGAAAGGGCAGAGCGAGUUUCAUGUUUGAGUGCAGCGGAUGCAUGGGCAAAGCAUUACACAGCCGCUCCAUGGAAGUGACAAUGAGCCUUGUCUUUCACACGUAACUCCAGGAACCAGGGGAAACAAAACCAAUUCCACCCAGAGGUACAGACAAAGAAGAGCACCCUCCCAAAGGAGCCCGCAUGAUAAGUGGCCACGGCGAACAUCACUGUGAUCAGUCAGAAAGGCAGGCGAGUUAUUAGCUUAGCCCUGAACCUCCUACUUAAUGUAGAACCAGUGGUGAUGGUUAACAGACCCUGGCUGCAGUGACAAGCCUGGGACCUGCUCGAGGAAAUCCAAUUGAAAAGCAGCCAAGAGGAACAACAAGCUAGAAACAGAUGUUCCAGCUACCAGGAUGUGCACGCAUUUAACCUGAACAUGUAGUUGGGGUGGGAUGGUAGCAUUCGUUUCUAAAUAUAGUGAUUUCACUUCUUCCCCCAUAUAGAUAUUGUCAAGUUUAAUUAUAGCCAUCCACAUUAGUUUUGUCAAAUUUUCAGCAAUUUCUUUAAAAUAAGAAGAUGUCAGAAUGAUAACUGCUAUUAAGGGAAUUCAGGGUGUUUGGUUUAUCUACCCAGUCUUACUAAAACAUUUCAGUUAAAUCAUCCACUCUUAAACUCCAGUCUCAUAGCAAUUAAAAAUUAUCUUUUAAAAAAUUGCCCAAAUGAAAUUCCAACAGUUCAUGUAAUUAUUUGAUUUAAUAUUACCAUGUUAGUAAAAUAUCUUUAAGAUAGUUAUAUUUUCAUGAGUCACUUUCUUAGUCACUUCUAGUUCCUAAAUAGGGGAGUUUGGGUUGACAGAGGUGUGAUAACCAUGCGAACAGGGGCUAGAAUAUAAGCUUAACAGAAUCAGUUAAUUAGAUUUGGAAGAGAGUUGAGUCUUGUGAACCACAGUGAUAUGUCAUGUACAUUAGGAAACAUUCUCCUUUACGUCAACACAAUUCUGGUUUUCUCUAAUGGGCUUUAUACGAGGAGAGAGACCAUCUCACUGUGUUGAUUUUUCUCAAGAAAAAAAUCAAUACUCUCAAUGGAUUUUAAGUAGAUCUAAUGUAGUACUGCACUAUGCUCAUAAGAAGAUAAGCAUAUGUAAAAGAUUUUAAAAUGUGAAUUAAUGCAUGCCACACUGAAACCAGAUCAUACCCCACACUCAUGUUGUUAUUAUGUGUACCUAAAGCAAAGAACAGCUGCAGAGUAUUUUCUCUGGUAACACUUCAUUUUUUAUUGGUAGGUUUUAAUCCGAUACAUUUUUGGGGUCACUGAAUUCUUAUUUGCUUUAGAAUGCCCGAUUAUAUCAUUCUGCAAAGGAUAAAAGGGCUUGAGCCAUCAUCCUGUGCUGAAAUUUAUUGAAGGUAUUUAUGAAGAGGGUGAUCUUGAGGAAUGCAAGCUUUUAAAAUCUAAGAACAGCAGCAAAAAUAAAUUAAUCAGGAAUCCAUCACUAAUUUAUACAUGAGUCACUUACGAGGAAGGUAAAACGGUUCAGUAAAUUAUGGAUUUACAAAUAAACUUGAUUCUAGGGCCUUGG